AUGGCCGUGGCGGGAGCAGCCUGCGCCUCCCGGCCGCCGCGCCCGCCGCGCCGGCGAGGGCCCGCGCCGCCACGCGCCGCGGCGGGGGCGGUGGAGUUACGGGUCUGCACGAACCGCACGUGCGCGCGGCAGGGCGGGCGCGAAGUGCUCCUGGCGCUCGAGGGGCUCUCGCCGCCCCCGCCGCGCGUCGACUUGGCAUCCUGCGGGUGCCUGGGCCGCUGCGGCGCCUCCAUCCCGGGCCGCGGUAACGCCGUGUUCGGCCACGUGGGCAUGGCGGCCCGCGCUGCGCGGCUCCUCGAGCACCUCCUCGGCGCUGCCGAGUUCGACGCUGCAGCGGGGCUCGCCGCGUUGGCCCUACGGGAGAAGGCCGAGGCCGCGAUCGCCGACGGGAAAGCCGCCGAGGCGGAGGCCCUCUUCACCGAGAGCAUCGCAAUGGAUGCUCCCGGUGGACUGCAUCUGGCCUAUGGAGGCAGGUGUAAGGCGAGAAUAGGGUUGGGGGUACCAGGCGCGCUCACGGAUGCCGAGGAGGCGAUAAGGAUAGCUCCCAGUUUUCCUCAGUCUCACUUGUUGCGAGGGGACGCACUAUUCACACUGGGAGAGUACCACUCCGCAAAGGAUGCUUUUGCAGGCGCCUUGGAUCUUGACCCAUCUAUUCGUCGGUCCAAGUCUUUCAAGGCCCGCUUGGAAAAGCUACGGGAGAAGCUUGUAAGUGUCAGCAGUUCAUCAUAG
rnacentral:rRNA from 1 species